UGCGUAGGUGGCGAGGUAAGUUGGAUGUGAAAUCCCGGGGCUUAACCCUGGAACUGCAUUCAAUACUGCCUUGCUCGAGUACUGGAGAGGAGAUUGGAAUUUACGGUGUAGCAGUGAAAUGCGUAGAUAUCGUAAGGAAGACCGGUGGCGAAGGCGGAUCUCUGGACAGUUACUGACACUGAGGCACGAAGGCCAGGGAGCAAC
rnacentral:rRNA from 1 species